rnacentral:rRNA from 1 species
CCAGACUCCUACGGGAGGCAGCAGUGGGGAAUAUUGGGCAAUGGGCGCAAGCCUUACCCAGCAAUACCGCGUGAGUGAAGAAGGUCUUCGGAUUGUAAAGCUCUUUGAUCAGGGACGAACAGAUGACGGUACCUGAAGAACAAGCCCCGGCUAACUACGUGCCAGCAGCCGCGGUAAAACGUAGGGGGCGAGCGUUGUCCGGAUUUACUGGGUGUAAAGGGAGCGUAGACGGCAAUACAAGUCGGAAGUGAAAUACCCGGGCUUAACCUGGGAACUGCUUUGGAAACUGUAUGGCUGGAGUGCUGGAGAGGUAAGCGGAAUUCCUAGUGUAGCGGUGAAAUGCGUAGAUAUUAGGAGGAACACCGGUGGCGAAGGCGGCCUGCUGGGCUGCGACUGACGUUGAGGCCCGAAAGCGUGGGGAGCAAACAGGAUUAGAUACCCGCGUAU